GGCGAACGCUGGCGGCGCGCCUAACACAUGCAAGUCGAACGAGCGAGAGAGAGCUUGCUUUCUCAAGCGAGUGGCGAACGGGUGAGUAACGCGUGAGGAACCUGCCUCAAAGAGGGGGACAACAGUUGGAAACGACUGCUAAUACCGCAUAAGCCCACAGGUCGGCAUCGACCAGAGGGAAAAGGAGCAAUCCGCUUUGAGAUGGCCUCGCGUCCGAUUAGCUAGUUGGUGAGGUAACGGCCCACCAAGGCAACGAUCGGUAGCCGGACUGAGAGGUUGAACGGCCACAUUGGGACUGAGACACGGCCCAGACUCCUACGGGAGGCAGCAGUGGGGAAUAUUGCACAAUGGGGAAAACCCUGAUGCAGCGACGCCGCGUGGAGGAAGAAGGUCUUCGGAUUGUAAACUCCUGUUGUUGAGGAAGAUAAUGACGGUACUCAACAAGGAAGUGACGGCUAACUACGUG
rnacentral:rRNA from 1 species